rnacentral:rRNA from 1 species
CACGUAGGGCGCGAGCGUUGUCCGGAUUCAUUGGGCGUAAAGAGCGUGUAGGCGGCCAGGUAGGUCGGUUGUGAAAACUGGAGGCUCAACCUUCAGACGUCGACCGAAACCAUCUGGCUAGAGUCCGGGAGAGGAGAGUGGAAAUUCCUGGUGUAGCGGUGAAAUGCGCAGAUAUCAGGAAGAACACCCGUGGCGAAAAGCGGCUCUCUGGAAACGGUACUGACGCUGGAGAGCGAAAAGCGUGGGGGAGCAAAACAGG